rnacentral:lncRNA from 1 species
AUUGUUUAAAAUAUCCAAAAAUUACAUGUCCAAAAUAAAAUAAAAUAAAAUUAAUGUUUUAAAACAAAUAUAAUUUCGUCCAGCAAAUCACGUCUUCUCCUUCAUGUUGGUGUCUACAUCAACCCAACUCAUCAGCUUCCUUUUUUCCACGUGCUUGAUACGUCUGGAAUAUAGUGCUUCAAUCUCCAGCACUCCUUUCUCCUUCAGUUCUUUCACUACCCACUCCUUUUUCUUGUACUUUACCUUUAUGCCCGGUCGGAGUGAGUCUUCUUUUGAUUGAAGAUGGAUUGUUCAUCCUUUAUCAACAUCUUCACUUUUAGGUACCUGCAAAACAUUACAACUAUCAGUAUCAAUACAUGUUCUUUCUCCAGAUGCAACAUCUCUUAUGGACUUUUUAUGUUUGGCUCUCUUCUUUAUUCUCACAUUAUUCUCUUUAGAGCCAUUAUACAACAGCACAUGUUCUUGAUCUCUUAACAUGAUCCUUCCGUCAUAGAUACUAAUAAGCAUUUUUGAAGUUGUCAUGAAAGGUCUUCCCAGAAUCAAUGGAAUCCUUUCAUUCGUCUCCAUAUCCAUGACGAAAAAGUCAGCCAAGAACUCUAGCGGCUCAACUCAAACAAUCACAUCUUCCACCAUUCCGAGUGGCUUUUUAGUAGAACCAUCUGCCACUGUCAUAGAAAGAUUAGACGGUUUUAAUACUAGCCCUCCAAUUUUUUUCAAAUAACGCUUAAGCAUCAUAUUAAUACUAGAUCCAGAAUCUAGCAUAGCUCCUCCUACAUCAACAUCAUUAACAACACACGGAAGAGUCAAACACCAUGGAUCCUUCAUCUUGGGCAGAUGCUUUCUCUUUUUGGGUUGAAUAACAACCUCUUGUUCCUCGUCAUUAAGAUCUACCACAUCUCAGAUAAAAUUUUAAUCUUUCGGAGUGAACAGGAAUCUACUGAAUUAUUGAAGGCACCAAAGUCACUUUUUCUCUAAACUGCUCAUCAUGACCAUCUUUUCUCUCUUCUUCUUCUUCUUCUUCACCCUUACUACUUUCCAGCUCAAUAAUCUCCUUUUCUUUUUCCUCUUCACUACUUUCAAUUUCAACAACUUCCUUUUCUGCUUUCCUUUUGCUCCUGGUUACAACAACUUUGCACUCCUCUUUAGGGUUAACAUCAGUAUUAGCCCUAAAUUGAUUUUUCUCUGUAGUUUCCACCCUUUUUGAUAAUUGACCAAUCUACAUCUCCAAAGAUCUGAAACUAGCUUGGUCACUCGCAUGUUGAGACUCAUAAACCUUCAAGAAUUUACCAAAUCUGUCAUUUAAGUCUCUGAUAGCCUCUGUCAAAUGAUUCACCUGCUGCCAUAAGGGUGAUGGUUGUUGUGGUCUGUUGUUAAGGAAGCCUACUGCUUGCCCGGAUGGGUUAUUUUGAGAUUGCCCAAUACUAGGAUGGUUAUUCCAACCUUGGCUAAAGUUGCCUUGGUUGAAAUUCCUUUUCCUAUUGUUAAGUCCAUGGCAAGUGUACCAGAUCGUUAUCAAGUAAUAUAAAAUGGGUAAGUCCAAGUAUUGUUUCCCAAAGGACUCUUAGGCCUUAACUUUCGUGUAAACCAAUCACAUAAGACUUGAGAAGAAAUUAAUUUUAGGUUUUGAAUGCAAAAGACAAAAGUAAACAUGCAAAAUGCAGUGAAUCAAUUGGCUAGAAAAGACUAUGGAUGAAUGGAGUUGUUGGGGUUUACAAUUUCAUCUUAUCCACCCUCUUAUAUCUACUCUUCUUAUCUACUUAGCUUAUUUAUCAUAUUGUCAUGCAAACUUUCUUAGUCUACCCUAAACCCAAUCUCUUGGCGAAAAGAGCAUAUUACCAAUUACUCGCUUACUAUCUCUAGCCUCCCCUAGUAGCCAAUAAUGCUUGAUAAACGGAAGCAAAAUACAUUUGAUCGUCCUACCCCUAUCUCUAGGCGGUAUUAGCAUAAUCAAGGAAU